AGAUUGGUAUCUGUUGCAGGCAGAAUUCUGAAAUGAGCUGCACUGAGUCAUGCCUUCAUAUAACCACCUCCCACUGAGUAUGAAUUGAACCUGUGACUUGCUUCUAGCCAAUAGAAUUCUGCCAAGAUAAUUGGAAAGUCAUCCCCUUGAUAAUGUUAUAGUACAUAAUAUUCUGCCUUAGCAGACUGGAGUAAGAGCUUCUGCUAGCUUUGAAGAAGUAAGCUGCAUUGUUAGGAGAAAGCUAAGUGGCAAGGGGCCUCAAGGGCCGCUGGUUGCUGAGAGUGACACCUGGCUAAUAGCCAGCAAGAAAGCAGCAACCACAAUCCUACAACCACUAGAAAUCACAAUCUUCUGACAACCGUGUGAGCAGCCUGGCAAACAAGAAUGCAACCUGUGAGAUGGUGAGCGGAAGACACAGGUAAAUCACUCCUAACCUUCGACCGAUGAAAAUUGUGAGAUAAUAAGUAUAUCAUGUCAGCAGUCAUUGAAGGCUUCUUGCAACUUGUUUAUCCAGUUGACUCUUUGAGGAAGACUUAGAAGUUGAUUUUGGACUUCAUUACAUGUGGUCUGCAAUACCAGGACACUGUGCAGACUUUGCUGGAAUAUCUGUGAGGGACGGGAUGAGAGGAAAAUGCAGACAAUUCAAGGCCCAGGCACUGCCAAGUUUUGUGGAGUCAUAUGGUCAGGUAAGACCUGCAUUGUCCCUGAGACUGUUAUCACCAAGGUGCAGCCUAUCCAACUCCUAAGAAUGUGAAAGAGGAGCCAGCUCUUGUAGAGAUUUUGAGGAUUUGGAAGACUUUUAUUCACCACUUGGCACAGUGCCUCUGUCCCUUAUACCACCUGGUAAAGAAAGGACAUGUAGAGGACCAGAGCAACAAGCUGCCUUCAGGAAGGCAAAAAUGUUAGUGAAGCAGAUGAAAGCUCUGGGCAGCUCCCAAUCAGGGCUAUCAUUUGAGUUAGAUGUAUUUGUGACUCUGGAAGGUAUGGGUUGGGCACUGUGGCUGAGACAACAAAAGGAGAGAGUAGUACCCUUAGGAUUUUGGUCCCAUCUCUAGAAGGGAGCAGAAACUCAACAUACCCCCAUAGAACGACAGCUCCUCCCAGUAUACGUUGUGCUUCUUCAGGUAGAGGUAGAGCCUUUCACAAAGGAACAGCAUAUCAUGGUAAGAACUUAUCUUGCUAAUAAAGGGGUGGAUUGAGACUGUGUUCCAUUGAUCUACCUUUGCCAGGGCUCAAAACUCCCACUUUGACUAAAUAGCAAGCCUAUUUGUACCUGAGAAGUUCCUUGUCCACCAACCGUCUCUAGAAAUAUGGACAUUACUAAGCCCUGUAGAGUAUGUUGAUCCUUCAAAUGCCCUCACCCCUAUCCCUGUGGUGGCCUUUGUGGCCUGUAGAGAGGGAAUGGGGAAAAUUCCUGCUGUUGCCUGGUAUACAGAUGGGUCUAGUCAGGGCAACCAACCUACUUGGAUUGUAGUCGCUAUUGAGCCCAAUAAUGACACCUUUGGAUGGAAACAGGAAUGAACUGUAGUAGCCAGUGGGCUGAACUCAAGAGUGGCUUGGAUGGUGAUCCCUCAUAACCUUUUACACUGAGAGUUGGGCUGUUCUAAAGCUGAGAAUAAUGGGGAGCUGAGGUGUGGAUGAUCAUGAAUAAGCCCUUGUGGGGUCAGAAUAUGUGGAAGAAUAUUUGGGUUCACCUGCAAGAGGCUGGAGCUGUCCUCACUGUCUUCCACAUCCUGGCUUAUAAAGUGCUCACACUCCCUGGAAAUCGGGAAGCUGAUGCCCUAGGUCAGGUACCAGUCCUAACAACUUGACAUUUCAGUAGAUAUAGCAGAUUGGGUGCACAGAAAGAACAACCACUGUAGUGCCUGAAAGGGAAGGCAUGUUGCCAAGGAAGCUAGAUUGCCCUUAAAAUAUAGUGACUUGGUUAAUGCAGUAAUAAUAUGAUCCAUGUGUUCUAAACAAUGCCCAAGGUAACUGCCAAAGGAGUCUGAGGUCAUCCACAGGAGUUCCCAACUGAUGAGGGAUUGGCAUAUUGAUUAUAUUGGUCCCCUCCUUCCUAGUGAGGGUUCUAAAUAUGCCUUGAUUUGUGUGGACACAUGUCUGACCUAACCCAAGUUUCUCCUAUUGCCCCACAAAUCAGGCUGCCACCAUUAGGGAAUUAGAGAAGCAUACUACUAAUUACAGAUAACUUUGUUGAAUAGACAGUGAUGGGGAUCACAUUUCAAAGGUAAUGAACAUGAGUGGGCAAAACAAACAAAACAAAUCAAAAACCAUGACACUGAAUGGAGGUUCCAUCUCCCCGAUAGCACACAAGCAGGAGGAUUUAUAGAAAGGAAGAAUGAAAUAUUAAAGCAUCAGAUUAGAUUACUAACAAGUAAAACCACCUUGGCUUGGCCAACUAUUUAUUUAUUUACACUAAUGUUAUAUCAUCUUUACUAGAUCACAAGGACACAAAUGGAUCCUCUGAAUGAUUUGACCCCAGCCCAUGGGACUUAAUAAUCAGUGAUUUGGGUCAUGGAGCUCUUGGUGGAAAACAAAAUUGUUACUGAUUUGGGGGAUCACGAUCUUAAUCUGUAUUUUCUCUUGCAUGUGCUAAUAUUGUUGCUCCAUUAUCUGCCUACCCUGCAGCUGGAUAGCUGCCAAGUGAACUUCUCAUGCUACCAAGUCUCCCAAGCACCCAGGGUACAUGGGCCAAGGUGGAGAGACGUGUUAGAUUGCAAGAGCUGGUCAGGAAGGGUGGAGUGUUGGAGGGAGUCAUCCAGAGGAUGUGAUGGCUGGUUGACACUGAGUUGGACCCAGUUAUCAGAGGCUCCUUAUUCCCUCUCCUAUUCUUAAAAUGUAUGUUCUACACUCUUCCCACACUCGGAGAUACUUCAGGCCUCCGCCUUGAGAGAGUACUGUGGUAUUGAGACCAUCUGGACUACAUACAUGUGCCUGAACCCUGUUAUGGCCUCUAAUCUCCUAGGAUUCUGGCAGGGGGAUGCACAGAUCUAUUCCUCUUACCACCACCCAAAACAAGUCUGGUUUGUAAAUUCCCUUAGUCAACAUGAAGUUA